GAUGAAGAACGUAGCGAAAUGCGAUAAGUAAUGUGAAUUGCAGAAUUCAGUGAAUCAUCGAAUCUUUGAACGCACAUUGCGCCCCCUGGUAUUCCGGGGGGCAUGCCUGUUCGAGCGUCAUUUCACCACUCAAGCCUCGCUUGGUAUUGGGCAACGCGGUCCGCCGCGUGCCUCAAAUCGUCCGGCUGGGUCUUCUGUCCCCUAAGCGUUGUGGAAACUAUUCGCUAAAGGGUGUUCGGGAGGCUACGCCGUAAAACAACCCCAUUUCUAAGGUUGACCUCGGAUCAGGUAGGGAUACCCGCCGAACUUAAGCAUAUCAAUAAGCGGAGGA
rnacentral:misc_RNA from 1 species